AAGUUUUGGCAACACUGAUAUGUAUGUCUAUAUAUUGGUCAUAACUAGACAAAUGUGGAUUUGGAAAUGCUUCGAAAUUUUAGUUUAAUUUAAAAUAGGUUUGGUAAUUUUUUGUAUAAUUUGGUAAAAAAUAAAUAACUUAUGGUAACACUGAACACAUAUAAGUAAAAUAUAGCCAUCGAAAAGUCUACCCUACGUUGCUUAUGCAUUUGACAGAGUUUUCGUUCAUUUUCUGACAGUCAGUUACGGCAGCAUAUUCAUAUUAGGUUCUUUCCCGUACGCAACGUGGGAUCCAGCGGGUGCCCAAAAUAGCCCAGAAAUCAUUCCCGUACUCAACAAAAUGGGUAAUAGAGAGCGAAAAUUGCAACAUAUUGGAUCGUGUCUUCUUCUUCCUGCCCGAAACAGCCCGGACUUUUUCUCCGGGUAAAAAUGGAUAAAAUGUCAAAGUGCAUAUCAGCUGUUUUACGUUUACAUGUCCACGUGGCACAGCAAAAUGAAGUCAUUCUUAACAUCAUAUUAAAUUACGCUAUCAUGUCGUGACUAAA